rnacentral:rRNA from 1 species
UACGAAGGGGGCUAGCGUUGCUCGGAAUCACUGGGCGUAAAGGGUGCGUAGGCGGGUUUUUAAGUCAGGUGUGAAAUCCUGGAGCUCAACUCCGGAACUGCCUUCGAUACUGACGAUCUUGAGUCCGGGAGAGGUGAGUGGAACUGCGAGUGUAGAGGUGAAAUUCGUAGAUAUUCGCAAGAACACCGGUGGCGAAGGCGGCUAUCUGGACCGUAACUGACGCUGAGGCGCGAAAGCGUGGGGAGCAAACAGG